rnacentral:rRNA from 1 species
CCUUCGGGGUACACGAGCGGCGAACGGGUGAGUAACACGUGGGUGAUCUGCCUCGCACUUCGGGAUAAGCCUGGGAAACUGGGUCUAAUACCGGAUAUGACCUGCUGUCGCAUGGCGGUGGGUGGAAAGAUUUAUCGGUGCGAGAUGGGCCCGCGGCCUAUCAGCUUGUUGGUGGGGUAAUGGCCUACCAAGGCGACGACGGGUAGCCGGCCUGAGAGGGCGACCGGCCACACUGGGACUGAGACACGGCCCAGACUCCUACGGGAGGCAGCAGUGGGGAAUAUUGCACAAUGGGCGAAAGCCUGAUGCAGCGACGCCGCGUGAGGGAUGACGGCCUUCGGGUUGUAAACCUCUUUCGACAGGGACGAAGCGCAAGUGACGGUACCUGUAGAAGAAGCACCGGCCAACUACGUG